CAAUAAUAGAGUAGAGGCAGCCAAGUAGCAAUGUAUUUCUGAGUUGCAAUUCCUUGCCUCCAUUGUGAGACAAACCCCAGCCACAUCUCCAGCACAUGAAAACUCCAAAUGCCUGAACCGCAGCUGCCAGGGAUUCCUCCAGAACCUCCUCCCCCAGGAGCUUGCUACAAGUGCCAGAAAUCUGGCCACUGAGCCAAGGAAUGCCCACAGUCCAGGAUUCCUCCUAAGCUGUGUCCCAUCUGUGUGGAACCCCACUGAAAAUUGGACUGUUCAACUCACCUGGCAGCCACUUCCAGAGCCCCUGGAACUCUGGCCCAAGGCUCUCUGACUCCUUCCCAGAUCUUCUCAGCUUAGUGGCUGAAGACUGACACUGCCCGAUCGCCUUGGAAGCCUACAGGACCAUCACAGACGCUCUAGGAAUAAUGAUGCUCGCAUGAAACAGGCAAGGAAGGACAGAAAGAGAAGGAAAGAGAGAAACUGAUUGAAGAAAAAUAAACUUCACAUGGAACAAACUUCACAUGAAAACAUGAGAUUUUUUCUUUUUUUGGGAUGGAGUCUCACUCUGUUGCCCAGGCUGGAGUGCAGUGGCACGAUCUGGGCUCACUGCAGCUUCUGCCUCUAGGGUUCAAGGGAUUAUCCUGCCUUAGCCUACCAAGUAGCUGGGAUUACAGGCGUGCACCCCCCAUACCUGGCUAAUUCUUGUAUUUUUAGUAGAGACGGGGGUUUCGCCAUAUUGACCAGGCUGGUCUUGAACUCCUGACUUCAAGUGAUCCACCCAUCUCGGCCUCCCAAAGUGCUGGAAUUACAGACGUGAGCCACCAUGCUUGGCCGAAAACAGAAGUUUGAAAAAAUUUAUUGAAAAACAUUUUGCCUAUGAUUCCAGUAUCAUAAACAUACUAUAGGACUCCAAAACCCAAUAAAAUUAUACUGUGAUCCUGAAAGUAUCUUAAGAGGCAUUUAAUAUACAAUGUCCAUGAAUAUCAGGUUGAACAGUGUGUUUUUAAAAUAUACAUUUGUAAAUGCUGUUUGUAUAUUACAUAUAUUAACCCUUUGUCUGUCAUUCAGAUUGCAAACAAUUCUGCCACUACUUUGUAUUGUUUUGAUAACUUUCCCCCACAAAAUGUUACUUUUUAAUGUAGUAGGAUAUGUGUAAUUUUAUUUUUACAGCUUUCAGCUUUCUUGUUUUGAUUAAAAUAGUCUCCUCAGCUCCCAAAUUAUACAUAUAGUCUCCUAAAUUUUCCUUUGGAAUUUUUAGGUGGUUUUUAAAUUUUAUUUAUUUUUAUUUUUUGAGACACAGUCUCACUCUGUCGCCCACCUGGGCUGGAGUGCAGUGGCGAGAUCUCUUUGUGUGGCACACAAGGCCCCACCAGGGGUCUGAUCCUGCUUGAUGGGAUCUUGAUUUGCAUAAACCAUACCCCUGCUGGGAUCCCAGCUGUGGUAGAUUGUGUUAUUGUUGAAAAUAUUUGCUUUCUCUCCCUUGGGUAGAUCAUACCUCCCUGUCUCGCUGAUAUCACGCUUGAUGUCUGACUGGCAGUGCCUCUCUCUGAUAGUAUUUUAUAUCCAGGGCGACCUUGUGACUUGCUUUGGCCAAUAAAAUUUGGGUGGAAGGGACGCACAUCGUCUCUGGAAAGAAGCUUCAAGAGCCAGCUGGUGGUUUUGCCAUCUGUCACCCUCUACCACCAUGAGACUGGCAAUGUCCCAGACGGGGGUGGUUUGGCCAGCCCAGGUCCCAGAGUGAACAUGGCAUGGAUGAGAGCACAGACAUUGAAAUGGGCAAGCGGCAUGAGCAAGAAAUACACCUUUGCUGUUGUAAGCCAUAUAGCCUUUAGGACUGUUUGUUACUGCAGCAUAACCUGACACUUUCUGACUGCUACACCAAACUCGCUGGCUUUGAGAGACUUUACCCUUUUUUGCUUUUUUUUUUUUUGAGAUGGAGUUUUGCUCCGUCUUGUACAGGUUGGAGCACAGUGGCAUGAUCUUGGCUCAAUGCAA
rnacentral:lncRNA from 1 species